rnacentral:rRNA from 1 species
UACGGAGGGUGCGAGCGUUGUCCGGAAUCACUGGGCGUAAAGGGCGCGUAGGCGGCUCAUGAAGGCUGUGGUGAAAGCCCGGAGCUCAACUCCGGAACUGCCAUUGAAACUGUUUAGCUUGAGGAUGAGAGAGGUGAGUGGAAUUCCCAGUGUAGAGGUGAAAUUCGUAGAUAUUGGGAAGAACACCGGUGGCGAAGGCGGCUCACUGGCUCAUUACUGACGCUCAGGCGCGAUAGCGUGGGGAUCAAACAGG